GGAUUUGAGAGUGAUCUGGCUGUGACAUUUUGGUCACCCAUUGAUCAUCGGGUUGAAAUUUUGGCUGAUCUGGCUGGUAGGCAAGGUGUCCCCUUCCUCCCCACCACUCAUGUGGCAUCCCUCCUGAAGCUGUGCCUUGGUUGAAGAGGAUAACUAUCCCCAUAGAGGAGCACCAUUCUUCAGUCAAGGGUAUACGAGUAGCUGCACUCCCCUGCUAGAACCUCCAAACAAGCUCUCCAGAGAUUGGUCUACAAUACUCUUUUUUUGUAUGUCCUUGUCUUGUUUUGGGAUAAAUGUAAUACUGGCUUCAUAGAAUGAGUGGAAUAGUGUUCCUUUCCUU
rnacentral:snRNA from 1 species